GGGGGUGUAGCUCAGUUGGGAGAGCACCUGCCUUGCAAGCAGGGGGUCAAGGGUUCGAAUCCCUCCAUCUCCA
rnacentral:tRNA from 4 species